CGCGUAGGCGGUCUGUCCAGUUAGGCGUGAAAGGCCUGGGCUUAACCCAGGAAUGGCGCUUAAUACUGACGGGCUUGAGAUUGGAAGAGGAGAGUGGAAUUCCCAGUGUAGAGGUGAAAUUCGUAGAUAUUGGGAAGAACACCGGUGGCGAAGGCGGCUCUCUGGUCCACAUCUGACGCUGAGGCGCGAAAGCGUGGGGAGCAAACAGGAUUAGAUACCCUGGUAGUCCACGCCGUAAACGAUGAGUGCUAGACGUUGGGGGGCUUGGCUCCUCGUGUCGCAGCUAACGCGUUAAGCACUCCGCCUGGGGAGUACGGUCGCAAGAUUAAA
rnacentral:rRNA from 1 species